CAGGCCACGGUGAGGGGCGGCAACAGCGUGAGGCCGAAGUCACGGAGC
rnacentral:SRP_RNA from 12 species